AGAAGAGGAUGAAUGGGAGAGGUAUUUGCAGGAACUGAUAGGACUCGAGAAUGGGUUGGGUAAAGGGUAGUGCCAUUACUUGAAGUGGGAAAUUAAAAGGAGGCAUUGGCUGGAUGUGGUGGCACACCUGUAAUCCCAGC